rnacentral:rRNA from 1 species
AGCGAACGCUGGCGGCAGGCUUAACACAUGCAAGUCGAACGCCCCGCAAGGGGAGUGGCAGACGGGUGAGUAACACGUGGGAACGUACCCUUUGGUUCGGAAUAACUUGGGAAACUCAAGCUAAUACCGGAUAAGCCCUUAUGGGGAAAGGUUUACUGCCGAAGGAUCGGCCCGCGUCUGAUUAGCUAGUUGGUGAGGUAAUGGCUCACCAAGGCGACGAUCAGUAGCUGGUCUGAGAGGAUGAUCAGCCACACUGGGACUGAGACACGGCCCUGACUCCUACGGGAGGCAGCAGUGGGGAAUAUUGGACAAUGGGGGCAACCCUGAUCCAGCCAUGCCGCGUGAGUGAUGAAGGCCUUAGGGUUGUAAAGCUCUUUUACCCGGGACGAUAAUGACUGUACCGGGAGAAUAAGCCCCGGCUAACUUCGUGCCAGCAGCCGCAGUAA